CCUGGCAGGGAAGAAGAGUUCACGGAGGGUGAGGGGCUGACGUCAGCACGCCGGCGUCAGGAGGGGCCGGGCCUGGCAGGUGCGGGUGCCCGCCUGGGUCUCUGGGUCUCGAGCCCAGCAGCGGCCUCUGGGCCAGAGGGCAGCCUGACCCCGCCUCCCGGCCGGGGCCACUCGGGCACCUUCGGGCUCGGCUCGAAUGGGCUUAAUAAAGGGACACGCCUGUCCCGGACAUUUCAUAUCAAUGGAACCAAAACACAUGUGGCUUUCUGUGUCUCGCUUCCUUCACUCAGCACAGUGUCUUCAAGGUUCGUCCAUGUUGCAGCAUGUUUCGUCCUUCAUGCUUUUCCAUGGCUGAACAUUUUCUAUCAUCUGCUGCCACAGGCUGAAUUGUAUCUCCAAAAUUGGUAUGUUAAAGUCCUAACCCCUAGCACCUAGGAAAUGUGACUGUGUCCGGAGACGGGACCUCUGAAGAGGCGAUCGCACUGAAAUGAGGUCAUUGGGGUGGACUGAACUCCAAUCUGACUGGUGUCCUUAUAGGAAGAAAGCAGGACACAGAGCCGCGCAGGAAAGACCAUGGAGGACACACGGAGAAGGUGACGUCUACAUGCCAAGGAGAGAGGGCUCCGGAGAAUCGAAACAUGCUGGCACCUUGAUCUUGGAUUUCCAGCCUCCAGAAUUGUAAGAAACACGGUCAGCAGCUUGGGAGUGGCGCAGAGAUGGCAAGUGGCAAGUGACCGCCCCAGUCUUCCACCAGGGAACACUGUCAUUUAUCUCGUCCUGCCCUCCAUGCCCUCUGCCAACGAACAGAUGACUGAAAGGCAUGGCCGUCGAAUUAUGUCAACGAUGGCACGAUGUAUCCUCUCACGUUCAUUACUCAAAGCCAAGGACAGCGGCCAGUCGGAACCUCCAGUCAGCUCAAGGUACAUUAUGGAACCCGCCACCGAGCUGCCCGAGUAGAAGCAAAGUCACUUAAAAUUCCCCUCAGCUGCUGCCGCUUUAUCACUGGCCAGUAUAUGAUUGACUUCAAGCAUCUCGAAAUAUUAAAAAAAUUAACUUCAGGUCACACUCUCUACCUUUUUCGGACUCUUGAGAAUUUGGUUGUGUAGUGGUGGUGUCCAGGCUAUGUUUCGUUUCCCCUGCGUCGCUGUUGCAGCUACAAAAUCCACUGAGAUACACACGGGCUUCAAGGCCACGGCCAGCUGACCACGAAGAGCAUGAGGCAGUGGCAGGCGCCAUGUUGACCGGCUACUGUUGCGGGAGGGCUGAUUCUGGUCGAAGCCCUGGCGGACUUGGGCGGAUUCGUCUGCGUGUUCUCUCUAGGUGCCCUCCGAAGUCUGCAGCAGGCGCUGGCUGGCCUGAGUUCAGUGACGUGGGGCAGAGCAAAGGCGGCCCCCACACACCCCUCCUCUGGCCCUCCUCGCCAUCCGCACCGCCCGCCUUGACCCACCUCGCCAGGCCUACGGCGGUGCCUGGCACUCACCUUUCU